rnacentral:rRNA from 1 species
AACCUGGUUGAUCCUGCCAGUAGUCAUAUGCUUGUCUCAAAGACUAAGCCAUGCACGUCUAAGUACAAACUAAAUGAUGGUGAAACUGCAAAUGGCUCAUUACAACGGUUAUGAUGUACCCCGGAGUCCGAUGGAUAUUUCCAGUAACACUAGAACUAAUACAUGCUCCUGCGUNUAUUAGUUUCGCACAGUCCGUCGUUGAGUCAUGGUAAACAGUUGAUCGACUCGACGUCCUGGAACAGUUUCCGCCCCAUCAGCUUCGAU